CACCUAGUUGUGUCAUUUGCAUACAAAGCCCACCAAGCACCAUCCUGUAAAGUCAUACGCCUGAAUCUUCUUGAUUUGCCAGGAUGACCAGUCAAAAGAAAAGAAAAGAUAUGGAACUUGCUUGUACUUGGAGUUUAUUGUCUAAACAGAAAGAUGCUUCUAAAUCUCAGACUUCAUUGUCAUGGAAGGAGCUCACAGACUACCGGGAAAUAUUUAGAAAAC